CCUACGGGAGGCAGCAGUCGAGAAUCAUUCACAAUGGGGGAAACCCUGAUGGUGCGACGCCGCGUGGGGGAAUGAAGGUCUUCGGAUUGUAAACCCCUGUCAUGUGGGAGCAAAUUAAAAAGAUAGUACCACAAGAGGAAGAGACGGCUAACUCUGUGCCAGCAGCCGCGGUAAUACAGGGGUCUCAAGCGUUGUUCGGAAUCACUGGGCGAAAAGCGUGCGUAGGCUGUUUCGUAAGUCGUGUGUGAAAGGCGCGGGCUCAACCCGCGGACGGCACAUGAUACUGCGAGACUAGAGUAAUGGAGGGGGAACCGGAAUUCUCGGUGUAGCAGUGAAAGGCGUAGAUAUCGAGAGGAACGCUCGUGGCGAAGGCGGGUUCCUGGACAUUAACUGACGCUGAGGCACGAAGGCCAGGGGAGCGAAAGGGAUUAGAUACCUAGUAGUC
rnacentral:rRNA from 1 species